GUGAGGAAUUUUCCGCAAUGGGCGAAAGCCUGACGGAGCAAUGCCGCGUGAAGGAUGAAGGCCUAUGGGUUGUAAACUUCUUUUCUCAGAAAAGAAUUAUGACGGUAUCUGAGGAAUAAGCAUCGGCUAACUCUGUGCCAGCAGCCGCGGUAAGUCAGAGGAUGCAAGCGUUAUCCGGAAUGAUUGGGCGUAAAGCGUCUGUAGGUUGUUUAAAAAGUAUUCUGUCAAAGAUUAGGGCUUAACCCUAGAUAGGCAGAAUAAACUUUUAAGCUAGAGUUUGGUAGAGGCAGAGGGAAUUCCCGGUGGAGCGGUGAAAUGCGUAGAUAUCGGGAGGAACACCAAAGGCGAAGGCACUCUGCUGGGCCAAUACUAACACUGAGAGACGAAAGCGAGGGGAGCAAAUGGGAUUAGAAACCCGAGUAGUCC
rnacentral:rRNA from 1 species